GCCUGGGUGGCUCAGCUGGUUAAGUGUCUGACUCUUGGUUUCAACUCGGGUCAUGAUCUCAUGGUUUGUGGGUUCAAGCCCCGCCUCAGGCU
rnacentral:tRNA from 1 species